rnacentral:rRNA from 1 species
UACGAAGGGGGCUAGCGUUGCUCGGAAUCACUGGGCGUAAAGCGCACGUAGGCGGCUUUUUAAGUCAGGGGUGAAAUCCUGGAGCUCAACUCCAGAACUGCCUUUGAUACUGAGAGCUUGAGUCCGGGAGAGGUGAGUGGAACUGCGAGUGUAGAGGUGAAAUUCGUAGAUAUUCGCAAGAACACCAGUGGCGAAGGCGGCUCACUGGCCCGGUACUGACGCUGAGGUGCGAAAGCGUGGGGAG